GGGGAAUAUUGGACAAUGGGCGCAAGCCUGAUCCAGCCAUGCCGCGUGAGUGAUGAAGGCCCUAGGGUUGUAAAGCUCUUUCACCGGUGAAGAUAAUGACGGUAACCGGAGAAGAAGCCCCGGCUAACUUCGUGCCAGCAGCCGCGGUAAUACGAAGGGGGCUAGCGUUGUUCGGAAUUACUGGGCGUAAAGCGCACGUAGGCGGACAUUUAAGUCAGGGGUGAAAUCCCGGGGCUCAACCCCGGAACUGCCUUUGAUACUGGAUGUCUGGAGUAUGGAAGAGGUGAGUGGAAUUCCGAGUGUAGAGGUGAAAUUCGUAGAUAUUCGGAGGAACACCAGUGGCGAAGGCGGCUCACUGGUCCAUGACUGACGCUGAGGUGCGAAAGCGUGGGGAGCAAAC
rnacentral:rRNA from 1 species